GACGCAGGGCCGGGCGGGAGCGCGCACGCCGGGGACAAGAUGGCGGCGGCGCUGGCGCGGGUUCCCGCGGUUGUGAUCGACCCGAGCGGCGUCUUCAAAUACAUUCUGAUCCGGGUCGGGCAGGACGGUGGCCCCGAGAUGGACGUGGUGCGGGGGUGGGCGUCCGCCGAUUACCAUGCUGAUAUCUACGACCAGGUGUCGGCAGAGAUUGAGCAGCAAGGUCUGUACUGUGAGUGCCAGGGUGGGGGCCGCAUCAGGCACGAUAAGCAAGAGAAGAAUAUACACGUGUACGGAUACUCCAUGGACUGCCUCUCCAGCGCUCCCUGAUGAAGAGAAUGGCAAAGAUCCGUGACUUCCUGAAAGAAGAAAUUCCUCCUUGAGACGACUUACUUUGACACCACGUCCAUUGUUGAUUCCCCACUGGGGCAGAUGUUUAGCAUCUCUCCCGUCAAGCCCUCAAUAAGGGCUUUGGCCGGGCUAAGCAUGAAAUAACGACAGAAAUCCUGAGGGCCAAGUACCCAGACUACACGGUGACCUGGGCAGACGAGGGCUACUGAGAUGGGCAAGGGAACACUCCAACUCUGGCCGGCACAGCUGGGCUACCCUCGCUGGGCCCGAGGCCUCCUGAUGUAACAAAUCAUUUGUCCAGAGCUUUGUUGGAGUUGUGCUGCCCGUUCAACUGAUCAUGUCUGCUGUGAUCCGUGUUAAACUAUCAUUGACCCUUCAUGGUGAGAGAGGUUCACUUUGUCAUCAGCUAUGUAUUUCUGAUCCUCAUUCAUCUUUAUUUCCUCCCCCAACACAGCUCGCCGUGUGUGCCGUACUCAUUCACCCACCCAACAAGUUGGAGUUUAACAAUGCUCCUUGUGUGUGAAAGAUUUAAUGGAUGAUAAAAUCAAAGUGUUUCAGAUGAUUCAAAGGCUUAGGAGGGUAAAUAGAAACCUCUUGUGAUGGCAAGACUGGGUAACUGUAGGAUUGGGGAUAGCACAAGGGAAAGAUGAACUUUCUUCCCUGAAGUUUGCUCACUUGAAAUAUUAAAACUAAAUUUGUUCAA